UCAUGUGUCUUGUAGUUUUGCUUCCUGUGUUUGUUUGCCUUUCCCGCCCUGAUCAUUUUCACCUGUAUCUCAUUGUCUCCGCUCACCUGAGUGUAUUUAAGUCUGUGUGCUUCCUUUGUUCUGUAUCAGUUCGUCUUUGUCUUUUGUCAAGCGGCCCGGCCGUGGUUACCUGUAUGGUAUUCUAUUGGAGUGUCUUCUGUUUCUCUUGGACCUUGCAUGGAUUUUGGAUUUUGGACUUUGCCUGCUUCCUGCCGGAAUUGUUUGCCUUUGUUGUACUGCCUUUCUUCGUUUGCUCUCUGCCUGCCUGACAAUCCAUAGCUAUUCCCUGCUGGUGAUCACAGCCAUGCUACACAAGCCAGCUGCCUUUCCUGUCCGGCCUGCCUCACCACACAAGCCAGCUGCCUUUCCUGUCUGGCCUGCCUCACCACUCAAGUCAGCUGCCUUGCCGGUUUUGCCAAUCACGCUACACCGAGCAAGAACCUACACUCACCAUCUCCAUCCCCGGAGCCUAGCAGUUUCUUCUAGGACCGGGCCUACUACGUCCUCUCUGGCUACAGUGGACUACACCAGAUUCGCCCCUCUGGAAGAGCUCAUAUGCACCUGUGACUGCUUGCAGCGUUCUAGCAUCCGGUGCCCCGUUACGUUUGCCUCUGAUCAGUCCAAGGUUAAUUAUAUUGUUGGGUUGCUGAGAGAGAGCGUUAGCCUGGAUGGAGGCUAUGCAUGCUAGCCAACCCUUGUCGUCACUUUCCUUAGCAGAAUUUUUGGUGAAGAUGAGGAAUGUGUUUGAUCAUCUGGAUGCCAGUGGGAACGCGGGGAGACGGUUGUUACGAAUCAGCCAGGGGACCUGAAGCGUGGCGGAUUAUUCCGUAGAGUUCCGGACACUGGCUGCAGACUCUGGGUGGAAUGAGGAAGCACUUAUCAGCGUGUUUGUGAAAGGGUUGAGUGAACAAAUCAAGGAUGAGCCCACCAACCGGGAGGCUAUGGUUUCUCUUUGUAUUCGCAUACGCGAAUUGAGCCAGAAUUGUGCCAGCCGUCCUCUCACCAACACCUCACGCAACACGUCUUCCACUACGCCCGUGAGACCUAGGUCGCCUAUCCUGACCGCAGACACACGCCCGCAGCCGCCAACCGCCCUUGAAGGGGAGCCCAUGCAACUAGGCCGAGCCCAUCUUACGCCGGCAGAUCGUCUCCGCAGUAGAACAGCUGGUGAGUGUCUGUACUGUGGCCACAGUGGUCACUUUCUGGCUGCAUGUCCAGUACAACUAAAAGAAUAGGCUCACCAAUCCCAGUGGGGGUUCUGGUGAGCCAAAACAACCCCCCUAACAGGCCUCUCCUAGGUUACAAAUCCAGGCCACCCUCUACAACCAACAAGUGUCACUCCCUUUAUUGGCUCUGAUUGACUCCGGGGCAGAGGGCAAUUUCAUGGACACAGAGUUAGCUCAACAGGCUGGCAUCCUCACAAAGACCCUGGAUAUUCCACGUAAGGCUGAGGCUUUGGAUGGCAGACUUCACAGCCCCCGUGUCCUUGGUGCGAUCCGGAAAUCAUUGAGAGAAGAUCCAGUUUCAACUCAUCUCUUUUCCCAACACACCACUAGUUCUGGGCUUCCCCUGAUUACGUCAACACAACCCACACAUUGACUGGACCAAAGGAAGAAUUGUGAGUUGGAGCCCCUUCUGUCUUUCCACCUGUUUGCAAUCUGCUCUAUUCCCCAGCAGAGGUCAGUGUUCCACCUCUUAGCCCGGAACUGCCGGAUCUAGCUCAUACCAGAGCAAUACCAUGAUUUAAGUGGUUUUCAGAAAGGACCUAGCCUUGUCACUACCUCCUCACCGCCCUUAUGACUGCACCGUUGAUCUUCUCCCUGGGGCCCCUCUUCCUUCAAACCGCUUGUACAAUGUGUCUCGACCUGAAAGAGAAGCCAUGGAGAGAUAUAUCAAGGACUCAUUACAUGCUCGGCUCAUUUGUGCAUCAUCUUCACCAGCAAGGGUGGGCUUCUUCUUUGUGGCAAAGAAAGACAAGACACUAAGCCUGUGCAUUGACUACAGAGGUCUCAACCAAAUCACCGUCAAGAGUAAAUACCUGUUGCCACUAAUCAACUCCAACCUUGAAACCCUUCACGGUCCCACCGUGUUCACUAAGCUGGAUCUCCGCAACGCUUACCACUUGGUCCGUAAACGGGAAGGGGAUGAGUGGAAGACUGCCUUCAACACCCCAUUCGGACACUUCGAGUACCUAGUGAUGCCUUUAGGACUGACAAACACUCCUGGCUGUCAAAUUAGCAUUGGAGGAAUGGCGACACUGGCUGGAGGGAGCAGAACAACCCUUUGUAGUAUGGACAGACCAUAAGAACCUGGAAUACAUCCAAACAGCCAAGACUCAACUCUCGGCAAGCACGUUGGACCCUGUUCUUCAGCCGCUUCAAUUUCACCCUCACUUACCGUCCUGGAUCCAAGAACAUUAAACCUGACACACUAUCCUGUCAGUACUUCUCCCUGGACAGCACCCCCGGACCUGAUACUCUCCUCCCUACCACCUGCGUGGUGGCCGCAGUGAUGUGGGAGAUUGAGUCCAUAGUAAGGGAGGCCCAGCGAAACCAGCCAGACCCCGGGAACAGUCCCACUAAUCGCCUGUUUGUCUCUAACUCUGCUUGUUACCAGGUGCUCCAGUGGGCACACAACUCUUGUUUCGCCUGUCGUGGCAGCAUGUUCCAUCUGCGCUCGAGGAAUGUCCUCUCAUCAGCCACCAGCUGGUCUGCUAUGACCACUUCCCGUUCCCAGUUGCCCUUGGUCUCACAUAGCGCUGGACUUCCUUACCGGGUUGCCCCCCUCUCAAGGUUUUCCGUCUUCAUGGCAUUCCACUCUAUAUAGUUUCUGACCGGGGACCCCAGUUCAUCUCACAGGUCUGGAAAGCAUUCUGUCUAGCCCUGGGAGCAACCAUCAGUCUCUCCUCCGGGUUUCCAUCCACAGACCAACGGCCAGAGAGGGCCAAUCAGGACCUCGAGGCAGCGCCUUGAUGUGUGGCAGCCACCAACCCUUCCUCCUGGAGCUCUCAACUUUCCUGGGUCGAGUAUGCACACAACUCACUAACCAGUGCUGCCUCUGGUCUGUCUCCUUUCGAGUCAUCUUUAGGGUACCAGCCUCCUCUGUUCCCAUCUCAAGAGAGUGAGCUUGCGGUCCCUUCCGUUCAACACCACCUCCGCUGUUGCCUUAAGAUCUGGAAGGAGACCCGGGCAGCACUUCUCCAGUCUGCUGAGAAGAAUCGCCACAUCGCAGAUCGGCACCGGACUCCAAUGCCACCAUACAAACCAGGUCAGAGUUUGGCUAUCUUCCAAGAACAUCCCCCUAAGAACCGAAUCCAAAAAACUGUCCCCCCGUUACAUUGGUCCAUUUGUCAUCAAACGGAUCAUUAAUCCAUCUGCAGUCUGACUCAAACUACCCCGCUACCCCAUGAGAGUCCACCCCACUUUCCCCAACUGAAACCAGUCUCCUUCAGCACUCUGUGUGUGUGUGUGUGUACUGGUCUGGCUCCCUGGUCUGCCCUCCUGCUGCUGAUCACCGGCACACCUGACGUCCAUCAUCCAAUCAGUCCACAGUAUAUCUACCAGGCUCUACCACACUACCAGCGCCAGAUCGUCUCCGUACAGUUGUACGAUACCUUCAUCACGGCCCCUACCUCAACCAAAGUUAAGUUGUAGUUACUCACUAUUGUUGCCUCUCUUGUAACUUUGUCUGUCUCUGCCACAGAGCUAUUACCUGCUGGUGAUCACAGCCAUGCUACACAAGCCAGCUGCCUUUCCUGUCCUGCCUGCCUGCCUCACCACAAGAGCCAGCUGUCUUUCCUGUCUGGCCUGCCUCACCACUCGAGCCAGCUGCCUUGCCAGUUCUGCCAAUCACGCUACACAAGCUGAGCAAGAACCUACACUCACUGUCUCCGUCCCCGGAGCCUAGCCUUUUCUUCUAGGACCAGGCCUACUACGUCCUCUCUGGCUACAGUGGACUACACCAGAUUGCCGCUCUGGAAGAGCUCAUCCACCUGUGAUUGCUUGCAGUGUUCUAAUAAAAACUGUUGCUACCACAAGUACCAUUUCCAUGUGUUCUGCAUUUGGGUUCUUAGAUCGUGCUCUACAACAAAAUUUGUUGCAGUGGAUGUCUACAAGCAGACCAGUCAUUAA